rnacentral:rRNA from 1 species
AGGGGUUUUGGGAUCAUGGCUCAGGACGAACGCUGGCGGCGUGCUUAACACAUGCAAGUCGAACGGAAAGGCCCUGCUUUUGUGGGGUGCUCGAGUGGCGAACGGGUGAGUAACACGUGAGUAACCUGCCCUUGACUUUGGGAUAACUUCAGGAAACUGGGGCUAAUACCGGAUAGGAGCUCCUGCUGCAUGGUGGGGGUUGGAAAGUUUCGGCGGUUGGGGAUGGACUCGCGGCUUAUCAGCUUGUUGGUGGGGUAGUGGCUUACCAAGGCUUUGACGGGUAGCCGGCCUGAGAGGGUGACCGGCCACAUUGGGACUGAGAUACGGCCCAGACUCCUACGGGAGGCAGCAGUGGGGAAUAUUGCACAAUGGGCGGAAGCCUGAUGCAGCAACGCCGCGUGCGGGAUGACGGCCUUCGGGUUGUAAACCGCUUUCGCCUGUGACGAAGCGUGAGUGACGGUAAUGGGUAAAGAAGCACCGGCUAACUACGUGCCAGCAGCCGCGGUGAUACGUAGGGUGCGAGCGUUGUCCGGAUUUAUUGGGCGUAAAGGGCUCGUANGUGGUUGAUCGCGUCGGAAGUGUAAUCUUGGGGCUUAACCCUGAGCGUGCUUUCGAUACGGGUUGACUUGAGGAAGGUAGGGGAGAAUGGAAUUCCUGGUGGAACGGUGGAAUGCGCCA